GACAGAGGUGCCGAGCGUUAGGCGGAAUCACUGGGCUUAAAGCGUGUGUAGGUGGAUGUCUAAGUACCUUGUGAAAUCCCACGGCUUAACCGCGGAACGGCUCGGUAUACUGGAUGUCUUGAGCCAGCUAGGGGCUACCGGAACAAAUGGUGGAGCGGUGAAAUGCGUAGAUAUCAUUUGGAACGCCAAUGGUGAAAACAGGUAGCUGGGGCUGUGCUGACACUGAGACACGAAAGCCAGGGGAGCGAACGGG
rnacentral:rRNA from 1 species